rnacentral:rRNA from 1 species
CCAGACUCCUACGGGAGGCAGCAGUGGGGAAUAUUGGGCAAUGGAGGAAACUCUGACCCAGCAACGCCGCGUGAAUGAUGAAGGUCUUCGGAUUGUAAAGUUCUUUUCUAAGGGAAGAAGAAAGUGACGGUACCUUAGGAAUAAGCCUCGGCUAACUACGUGCCAGCAGCCGCGGUAAUACGUAGGUGGCAAGCGUUAUCCGGAUUUACUGGGUGUAAAGGGAGCGUAGACGGCAGCGCAAGUCUGAAGUGAAAUGCCAGGGCUUAACCCUGGAACUGCUUUGGAAACUGUGCAGCUAGAGUGCAGGAGAGGGAAGUGGAAUUUCUAGUGUAGCGGUGAAAUGCGUAGAUAUUAGGAGGAACACCAGUGGCGAAGGCGGCGUACUGGACUGUAACUGACGUUGAGGCUCGAAAGCGUGGGGAGCAAACAGGAUUAGAUACCCCCGUAUCC